rnacentral:lncRNA from 1 species
GUGUCCUCUGCUCCUAGAGGCGCAACCUCUAUAGCCCUGUGACCUGCAGGUAUUGGGAGAUCCACAGCUAAGACACCAGGACCUCCUGGAAGCCUAGAAACAGGACCAUUGCAGUUUAGAGACGUGGCCAUAGAAUUCUCUCUGGAGGAGUGGCAUUGCCUGGACACUGCACAGCGGAAUUUAUAUAGGGAUGUGAAGUUUCAGAACUACAGAAACUUGGUCUUCCUUUAAGGAAAAAAAACCUUUGACUAUGAAGAGACAUGAGAUGAUUGCCAAACCCCCA